AAAAAUGUAAGGUAGGUCAUGUGUGCCAAAUGACUCCUCUUGAACUCAGAUUUUUUUUUUUUUUUAGCAAACUUCAAUUAUAUUUUUUAUUCUUUGUUAAUCAUUUUAAAGCAGUUCUUAAACAACAUAUUAUAUUUAACAGGGUGGUUAGUAAAUUACCUCACAGGUGUUCACAACCAGAUAGAUAAUCCCUUUACUGGGUCUGCUUUUGGUCGUUAAAAUGUUCAGAGAAGGUAAAGCCAAAUAAAUUUAAAUUGAUAAGGGUGUGUGGCCUCAUCUCACCCGAAUGAAGUAAAAGGCAUCACUAAUCGAUCGACGACCCCUCAGCUUUGUCUGCGUUGCGUUUGCUGCCCCUUCCCCGCUCGACCGUGACAGCCGCGCGUCCUCUGAAGAAAUGGUAACGACAGUGAAGCUCAACACCGGCGCACAGUGCCCUAUUUUGGGACUGGGGACCUGGAAGGUGAGUUUUGCUUGACUGUGUGGUCUGUUUCGAGUUAAUGGUUAACUUGUUAGGUAAGCUAAAGUUAGCUGCGUACUCCAGCAGAGACCUUGCGUGCAGACUGUUACAUAAACGAAACGCUGUUUGGUGACUUAACUCGGCGUGUUUGGCUUUAUACCAACACAAACUCACACAGAAUUGCACAAACAUAACACAAGUUGAGACAGCUUUCAGUUUAUACUUUCAUAAGAGAGGUUUUUGGAACUACAGCUGUUGCAACUAUACACGCGUUAGUUAAUGUUAAUAUUAGCUCCUGCACAGUCCUCUCCUGCUAACACUAAAAUAAGAGCCAGUUGUAUUUUAGUUAAGAUUUAUUGAACCAUGAAAUGUUCUGCUGUCACACGACAACAACAACUGUGUGCAUAAUCUAACCUAACAUCUGCUGUUGAGAAAUAUUGCUUUGGUGUCUUAAUUUGUAUCCAUACGUUGGCAGAAAACAUGACCCAAGUUAUGAGUAGUGCAGCCAUAUUUUCUUCUUAUUGAAUUUGCUGUAUAGCCUUCAUGUUUACUACUCAACUCUGUAGACUCAAGCGGUGUGAGGAGUCAAUGAUAAUUCACUUGUUUUCCUCAGAUGUACUGAAUAUUGUUUCAAAAUGAACAUUAUGUGCCUAAAGAAUCCACGAGAACUACCUUUGUCAGGAUUAGUAUCCCAGAGCAGGUGCGUGCCCAAGCUUCUUCUAACUCGCGUGCCCCAGCUCCUGCAUUGACUUCUGCACAUCCCAAAUGAACAGUAUUAGUAUUAACACCGAGUUAGACACCCCUCGAGAGAUGAAUGUUGCCAACCACUUGCUUCUCUAGUCAUACCAACUUUAAUAACAACUGCAGGUUAGCUAUACACCAACGUCCGAGGAGCCAUAGACACCCCUCGAGAGAUAAAUGUUGCCGACCGCUUGCUUUUCUAGUUCUGUGCUGUUCUGAGCAUUAUUUGUGGCUAUGGAGUGGCUUUUUGGUUGAGGUUUGUUUAUGGCUCCUCAGACCGCUGUGUAUUUCUAUCGUGCGGUCGUUACUAAAGUUGGUAUAACUCAAGAAGCAAGAAGUAAUUUAAGCUGCUGUUCCAUUUGAGACAAGUAACCAAAUGUGUAAAUUGUUUCUUUUGCUCCUUAUCACUGGUUGCACAGAGUUUAUUUAGUGCUUCUUGUAGCCCCUCCUACACUUGUAUGUGAGUAUAAUUUAAAAACAUUGUACUUUUUCCUGUGUUUUGGCCUCUCUGUCAUUUUAAAUAAACUUUAUAUUCUCGCCAUCAGCUGGUUUGAUGAAACUGUGGUCUUUUUUAACUGUUAAUGCGUUGCUGUGGUAUAGGGGAAUAUUUUAUUCGUAAAGCAUGAUUCAAGUUUCCGACUGAAAAUUCUUAAAUUGAUGUUUCUCAUGCUCAGGAUAGUUCAGAUGACAAUAAAUAAUCAUAACCCAUCAUCACUGUGUGUUAGUCAACCCCAGGCGCAGUCGCAGAGGCGGUGAAAGCGGCCAUCUCGGCAGGUUACAGGCACAUCGAUGGAGCAUUUAUCUACCAGAAUGAGACAGAGGUGGGAGAGGGUGUCCAAGCCAUGAUCAAAGAAGGUGUGGUCAAAAGAGAGGAUCUUUUCUUGGUUAGCAAGGUGAGUUUAAGGUAAAACAUGCACACAUGAUUGUUUCUGUGACUGAAUGGUGCUUGAAUACAAGAUUCUUGGGUAUGAUGCCCAGUGUGUAAAUCUCUCUACCUUUCCUUUAGUUGUGGUGCACCUUCCAUGGGAAGUCCCUGGUGAGGCAAGCCUGUGAGAAGACUCUCAGUGAUCUUAAACUGGACUACCUAGAUCUCUAUCUUGUCCACUGGCCCAUGGGUUUCAAGGUUGGUGCACUAUUGUUUUGUCAACAAAAUGUAAAAUCGUGUAAGGGUGCAGUCUGUUUGUGGAUCCAUAGAAUUAGCUGUGUAUGACUUUCAUCCAGGAGUUGGACAUCAGAUCAGCUCAGAUGAAGCUUGAUGGCUUUUUUUUUUGUCAUGUUAAAGGCUGGCAGUGAGAUGUUUCCACUGGAUGACGCUGGAGAGACAAUCAGCGAUGGUACUUCCUUCCUGGAGACCUGGGAGGUGAGUCAAAUUUAGGCACUUAGGAAUAAGAUUUAAACUUGUAGUAAACAUUGAAGUUUCUAGGGACCAAGGGAAGGUAUGUGGACAAAGGAGAAAUCUGAAGGACUCCCCGAUGGACACAUCUUUCAGGCUCAUCUCAGCCUUGUCUGAGUGGAUCAACAGCAGCCAAAUGUCUCCUUGAGACUUGUUUGUCCUAUGACAGCUUUCAAAACAAGGACUGUUUUAAGCUGUAAUAUCUUAUUGUCAGACUUUAACUGUCAGAUGAAAAGGAAGAAGUACUUAAAGUUGGAGGUUGGGUGUGCUAACUGUUUUUUUUUUUCCUUUUUGUUUUCUUAAUGAUAUUUCUCAGGGAAUGGAGGAGCUUGUGGAUGCAGGUUUGGUCAAAGCAAUUGGAGUCUCCAACUUCAACAAGGCACAGCUGGAAGCCAUUCUCAACAAGCCCGGCCUCAAAUACAAACCUGCUAAUAACCAGGUACGCUGACUUAUUAAAUGUUUGCUUGUUUAAAAAGGUGUGCAAACUUCAGAGCAUUGCAAACAAACUUGCAAGGUGAUCCUCUUUUACAACACACUUUUCAGUACCUGUUAUUUGGACUCUCAGAAUAUCAGACCCACAGACUUUUAAUCCACCCAAGUUAAAAUAGAACCACACUUGUUAUCUAUGAACUAUAGGGGCCACAUGUAAACUUACACAAUCAUAAAAGCAGCUUAUGUAUGUUAGAAAACAGACACACUUGUGGUUCCUAAAGGGCAAAAAGCCAAAAUGGCAUUAUCUGUCUCAUCCAAUCAGGUCUGAGGAGUAAAUGUCUUGUUUCAUCUAAAUAAACCACAUGAGAGUCCCCUCAGGCCAGACCAUUAAGAGGAGAUGACCUCCUUUUUUGUGUUUUUCCAGAACAAUUGUUCCCCAUCAAUGUCUUAUUUAGCUUGUUCCCUGGGUAUAUCUCAUUACAGCACCAUUAUCCAUCUGUUGACUGUCACUAUUCUUACCAAAUACAGAACUGAAGACUCUUAUAGAAAAGAAACCCCCCUUUAUAAGAUGAUGUUAAAGAAGUACGGUCCGUUUUUUUAGGCUUAUGUGAUAUAAAAGCCAAAAAUAUGAUUUUUAUUCCUCCAGAAGCUCAGGUUGUUCACUUUUCAAAGUUGACUCUUAAGACUUAAUUUUUGAAAGUGUUAGUAGAAGGUAUUCAAUUUGAACUCAUCUUGCUGGUUUUAAAGGACUGUAGUGAGCUGUCUUGAAGGUUUGUGUCCAUACCCCGUUGUGCACUUACUCUGCAGUGACGUAAGGGUUGAGGUGUGAGAGCAUAUUAAUAGGAGCUGUGUUUGAGUAUGUUUCAGCUGCAACAACGUCACCAAAGCACUUGGGUUAUUACUUCCUGAUUAAAAAUGGUGCAUUAUCAGGAUGUUAUAUAUUUCCAUAAAUGAUGAUCCAAUCAUACAAAACUUACAGCAGCAGAGAAGCUCACUCUCAUCUCUUUGACAAAUGCAUGCAGGCUGACAUUGAGUUACUAUGGUAACAGGAACAUGCUGUGUCUGUCACUCUGACACUGUUUACACUACGUUUGCAUCAGAAAUGGUAGAAUUCAAGUAAACAAAGUUCUGAGAUUGGGCAGUAAUUCAGGUUUUUGGAUACAAAACUACACCUACAGUGGAGUCAAGAUAUAUUUAUAUAGACAUAUUAGAUAUGUAAACAAAUAGGGCUAUAUAAAUAAAACUGUGCUGUAAUUGUGCAUUAAAAAUACUUUAUUAAAUCCUCUGAGGGCCCGAAGUGGCAUCGACAGUCUUCCACUUGUUUAACCAACAGUCCAAAACUGAAAUGAUCCUCAUGUUACUUUUAAAAGGGCAAAUAAAACAUCAUGAUGUGCUGAUUCUGAUGAUCCCACUGGGUGAAGUUGGUUGUGUUUUCUGGAAAACUGCAAUUUCCAUGAGCAAAUACACACACUGCACACCUUUUCUAUUUUUCUGCACUGCAGCUCAGUUGUGUGUUUGUCCCAUCAGUUUGAGUGCCACCCAUACCUGACCCAGGAUAAGCUGAUCGACUUCUGCCACUCUCAGGGCAUCUCAGUGACAGCUUACAGUCCUCUGGGCUCCCCGGACAGACCCUGGUGAGCUUCUUCCUCACAUGACACGUUUUUAAAGAAGCUGUUUCACAAUAUUGCAGCAAAGUGGGUCACAUUUGGUUGAAUGUUGACUCAGCAUUCCUCUGCGUGAUUUUAUGUUGUACUCUUGUGGUUAGUUUCUUCUUGUGACUGCUGUUCCUCUUUCUCAAAGUGUUGUAUCCAUGUACGGUAGAAUUUGUCAUGAUGGACAUGGAGUAAUCAGCUGCUUUGAUAUUGAUUUUUCAGUUAUGGUCUUUUAAAGUGCUGUCACUGUUCUGAUGUUCAUGUCAGCUCAGUAACCCGCCUUUACGCUCUCUUUUUCAUGUUAUCUUGCAGGGCUAAACCUGAAGACCCCUCACUCCUGGAGGAUCCAAACAUUAAAGCCAUUGCUGAUAAACACAAGAAGACACCUGCACAGGUACAGACUCUGAUCAAAUAAAGACAGCUUGUUUCUCUUUUCUCAUCCACUCUCAAUUUUAGCAUCGUAGGCAUCCACAAGAGAUAAUAAUGUGGAUGGUUUAAAUACCAACAGCUGGAAUUACACCUGAAGUCAUGACCCCUGAUCGAGCUCACAUGUUAUUCUGCUCCCUUGCCAGGUCCUGAUCCGCUUCCACAUCCAAAGGAACGUGAUCGUGAUCCCCAAGUCCAUCACACCUCACCGCAUCCAGGAGAACUUCCAGGUAAUUAGCUGAGAAAUUGUUCAGAUAUUUCCCCGGAUUAGCUCUCAGCUCCUUCAUUCACUUACACUGUUUUGCUCGUGCAUGAAAACUAUUUUCUUUUUUUUUAAUCCGUGCAGGUGUUUGACUUUGAACUGACUGAGGAGGAAAUGAAGACCAUAUUAGGGUUCAACAGGAACUGGAGAGUGUGUCCCAUGCAGUGGUGGGUUUGUUUGCUUUUGAGCCCUAAUUUUUGUCGAGUUUGUCACUUUUUGAUAACAUUGUUAUGCUCCUUCAUUCAUUUUUCUCCUGCAGGAGCACAAAGCACAAGGACUAUCCAUUCAACGACGAGUACUGAAGUGAAAAAAACGGCAGAUUUUCCACAGGCUUACGUUUGGUGCUGGGUUUUGCUUCUCUACCCUUUAGACUGCUCACGGUGCUCUUCUGAGCAGUUUGCAGUGACAGUGUGGCCUUUAAAGCUGACAUUGAUUUCAUUAUUAAGAGGAUGUUAACCUGAUUCUUGCUGGUGUUACCUCACAGACUCCAAAAAGUUGUUUAUACCCAUGUAUGAAGCGCUCAUUCAGUCCACAUUGAUGCAAUUGCUGGAAUAAGUUUUAUUCUUGUAAAGUCGAGUGUCAGAAACUUCCUUUUAAGUUCUAUUUGUUCAAAUAUUUUUGUGUUUGUGGCGUUUUCAACAGCUGAACUACCAAAAAAAUGUGAAAAUUACUCCACAGAUAAAGUAUUUUCAAAGGAAGUUAACAUUUGGAGUUGCUCUUCUGCACAAAGUACCCUUUUUUAUGUCUUACUUGUAGCUCAACGUGUUUGUAGUAUAGCAUUAAGGACAAAACUGCCUAGAGUGAGUCCUUUUGGACAAACUCCAAGAUAAAUUCCUCAUUUUUUUCAAUAUAUAUUUUCAGUAGUACACAUGUGAUAAAUGCUGCAUCAUACUUGUCUUGUGAAAACUAAAGGACUUCCUGUUGUUACUUUUAGGUCACAUGUGGCCCUCUAUGAUCAUGUGUGUUACCCUGUUACAGAAUCGCUGCUUUCACUUCCAGUCAGGGCAUUUUUCUUUCAAUUAUUAAACGAAGUCCAGUGGAAAGAAAAA